UAGUGGCGAACGGGUGAGUAACACGUGGGCAAUCUGCCCUGCACUCUGGGACAAGCCCUGGAAACGGGGUCUAAUACCGGAUAAUACUUCCUGGGGCAUCCUGGGGGGUUGAAAGCUCCGGCGGUGCAGGAUGAGCCCGCGGCCUAUCAGCUUGUUGGUGGGGUGAUGGCCUACCAAGGCGACGACGGGUAGCCGGCCUGAGAGGGCGACCGGCCACACUGGGACUGAGACACGGCCCAGACUCCUACGGGAGGCAGCAGUGGGGAAUAUUGCACAAUGGGCGGAAGCCUGAUGCAGCGACGCCGCGUGGGGGAUGACGGCCUUCGGGUUGUAAACCUCUUUCAGCAGGGAAGAAGCGUGAGUGACGGUACCUGCAGAAGAAGCGCCGGCUAACUACGUGCCAGCAGCCGCGGUAAUACGUAGGGCGCAAGCGUUGUCCGGAAUUAUUGGGCGUAAAGAGCUCGUAGGCGGCUUGUUACGUCGGUUGUGAAAGCCCGGGGCUCAACCCCGGGUCUGCAGUCC
rnacentral:rRNA from 1 species